GCUCUGAGCAGGCCGACAGUCAUAGACGAGUAGACCUUAGGCGAGGGAAGGCAUGUACUUUCCCUAAGAAGCGGGAGGAGAGAAAUAAAUAGAGGGCAGUGGGAUGAGAAGAACCUCGCGGGAUGGGAAGCCGCGGAGGGAAGGGCCGUCUUUGGUUACCUGGAGAGCGGGAGCAGCUGCGGAUCCCUUAUGAAGUGCCCGGAUGAAGCUCCAGCGCUCACGCGCUUUCCGCAUUGAGUGCAGCGCCAUCUUGAGAAGGGCGGAGCCGUCUUGUUUGGAAUGACGUCUGUUCAGAGAGCCAAUCCCAGUCUCGCGACUCCUGCUUGCUGGGCGCGGCUUGGGCCUCCAGGCUGCGCAGCGCAGCCGCUAUCGGGCGGACUGCAGUUCUUGCCGAGCAGUCGCAAUGAUUUGUAUGACAGCUGCUAGCCCAAGAGAGAGUUCCAGAAGAGGGCUACCUAACAGGUGCUGUGGCAUUUAGAAGAGGAAUGGAGCCAUUGUCAACGCACAGCUUGCAGGGGAGCAGGAGAGUCAGUCUAAGAAGGAAAUGUGAUGAUGGAAACAGAGGUUGGAAGAUGGAAGAGGACCCAGAGUCAAGGAAUGCAGGUAGAAAAGAAAAGCCUGGAUUCUCCCCUAAAGCCUCCAGAUGGAACACAGCCCUGCCUCCACCUUGAUUUCAGGACUUCUUACCCCAAGAAUCUCACCCGGGAGGAACCAUCUAUCAUCCUGCCUUGAAGGUAGUUUCUGCUGGAUCUGGUCAGACCUUUGUAUGGUAAUGAGGAUUUAAAUCCCCUGUUAGGAAAUCUGCUAGGUUAAUGUAAUUUGCUGUGGUUAAUGUUAAAUCACCUUUUUCUAGCAGAAUAGCCCCAUACUUUAAGAUUUUUGAGUUAGUAAGCUCCCUUUUUGCUUUUUGACUUAGGAUAGUUCUGAACUGGUGAGGUGUGCUCACAAUGAGGUUUCCUCUAAAGGUUAUUUUUCUGCUUUCUUCUGUUAGCAAAGCAGUUGCUGCUACAGAUUGAAUGCAUUUGGGCCAUCCACGGGUUCCUGGGUUAAGGAUUUUUGAUAGAAAGGCUACUGGUUGUCAGUGGCUUCAGUGCUUUCGGGCUAGGCCUUUGUUUACACUGACAACAAAAUGGUAUUGGAGUGUUAUGGGGUCACAGAGAAGACCUUCAAUUAUCAAUUAUAGGUUUUAAAUUUACCCUGGCUUUUAAAGAAAUAGGGUACACUUUUUUCUUUACUACUUCUAUCUUUCUCUUUCUCUCUUUCUUUCUCCUUUCUGUCUUUGUAGAUGGAUUUUGGAAACCCAGUGGAAGGAUGUUCGCUCAUUGCCCCCAUUUGCCACUAUAGGACUAUGCGCCUCCCUUUUAUUUACUCAAUUUGCUUUUAUCCUGAUCUAUUAUGUUGUUGUAGACCCAGUUCCAGUUGUUACAAUACUGGGUUAUCAGUUCUAAGGCCCUGGCAAGGGUGGUGUGGAACAGGUCCCACAUAACUGCCCAUGUCGAGAGCUCUAAGCCUAAAUUGGGAGGGACACCAGGGACAAGACUCCUGGGUUCAUAGCCUAGGGGCCUAAGGUCGCAGCAUAGAGCUUCCUUAGAUCCCUUUGGAGAUACUAAUACUUGGGAGAGGAAGUGAAAGUCUGAAGCAUUAGUAUCUAGGAGGCAGGGAUCAGAGGAAGUAGAUUCAGAGGUAAGGAGAAUUUUGGGGCUACACUUUCAAGAAAGUUGUGGUCAGGACCCAGGAGGUAUGGGUCAGAAGGAAAGGUAGAGGCACACGCACGGGUGACUGUUGAGUAGGGACUUCUGGCUGCGCCAUGAUCUCAACCGGCUAAUGCCGAGAGUUUGGGAUGACAGCUUUCUGCCUCUAGUCGGCCCCCGGCUUCCCCAGGGAAAUUGAAAGUGGAAGCUGGUUCCAGGUAGACCAGCGCUUCCAACCCAGAAGCGUUGGGGGUUGUUAGAAAGCCAUUCCCCAGACAGCCUCACACUUGAGUCUUAAGUCUGGUGGCCGCCCUAUCGUUUUUAACCGUCCGACAGGUGCCUGGUAUUUUCCUCCAAUUCUAAGGAAGGGUAGAACAGAAUAGCAAGCGAAAGCGCUUUGGAGGUCCCUUCAUGAUUGCCAAAAUGUUACCAGGGAGUCCUUGUUCUUAGAGCUCCAAAGAUGAUGGUGGGCCGCUUCCAUGAUGGCGGCAAGCCUCUUGUUCUCUGACCUGGGGUUCCUGGCCUCACGGAUACUAAGGAAUGGAAUCUUGGGCCAUGCAUUGAGUGUUAUAGCUCUAUUCAGCCCAAUUAGGAUGAACCCCAGGCACUUAGCCCGCGCAGGAACAAUGGCAAGCCUCUAGCCCGAUUGGGAGCAGCAAUGGACACUGCCUCGCUGGAUCACAAGUGCAGCAGAUCCACCCCUGCCAGAUCCAGAGGGUUGGAAGUCAGCUGCGGGUCUGCAAUGACGGCAAACAGUGGUGGACGGCGAGUGAAAGCUCAGCUCGAGCCAUAAAAAACACAGACCAGAAGAGUGUGCAGUUGCAAGAUUUAAUAGAGUGAAAACAGAGCUCCCAUAAAAUGGGAGGGGACACAAAGGGGGUUGCCCUUCAUUCUGUUUUUCAUAAGGACUGUACUAAUUUACACUCCCACCAACAGUGAAUAAGGGUUCCAUUUUUUGCACGUCCUUGCCAACACAUCUUAUCUUCUGUGUUUUUGAUAGUAGUCAUUCUAAUAGGCAUGAAGUGAUAUCUCAUUGUGGUUUUAAUUUGCAUUUCCCUGAUGAUUUGUGAUGUUGAAUAUUUUUUUCAUAUACCUACUAGCCAUUUGUAUGUCUUCAUUUGAGAAAUUCUAUUCAAGUCGUCUGACCAGUUUUUAAUUAGGUUAUUUGCUUUCUUACUAUUGAGUUGUUUCAAUUCCUUAUAUAUUUUGGAUAUUAACCCCUUGUCAGAUGUUUGGUUUGCAAAUAUAUUUUCUCAUUCUGCAGGUUGUCUCCUUACUCUGUUCAUUAUUUUUGUAGUUAUGCAGAAGCUUUGUAGUUUGAUGUAAUCCCAGUUGUCCAAUUUUGCUUUUGUUGCUUGUCAUUUGGGGACAUACCCAUAAUUGAUCUUAGCCAAAAGGCUGAGAAGUGAUUUGGGUCAUAUUAAAAAAUAUCAUUGCCAAGACCAAUAUAAUGGAGUUUUUUUCUAGGUUUUCUUCUGGUAAGUUUAUAGUUUCAGGUCUUAUGUUUAAGUCUUUAAUCCAUUUUGAGUUGACUUUUUUACAAAGUGUGAGAUGAGGGUCUAGUUAAUUUUUUUUUUUUGUAAAUUGACAAAUUAUAGUUGUAUAUAUUUAUGGGGUACAAAGCAAUGUUUUGGUUUAUUAAUACAAUGUGGAAUAAUUAAAUCUAGGUUGAUAUUAAAUCAAUAAAAU
rnacentral:lncRNA from 1 species